CCACCAUCAAUCUUAGCAAUCUAAAUGCACAACCCCUGCAGCCGCCUGAGUGUAGAGGGUCACAAACUGGGAAAGAUCUGCAGCCCAACUCUGGUUGUAUCCAAGAGAACAGGUGAUCCCAGCAAAAUGACCCACCAGUGGGUUUGCUUGCUAGUACAAAUGCAGAAGCAUACAGUGACUCCAAAUAAUUAAAUAGGCAG
rnacentral:lncRNA from 1 species